AGUGAACGCUGGCGGCAGGCCUAACACAUGCAAGUCGAGCGGCAGCGCGUCCGACCACCCUCGGGUGGUCGGAUGGCGGCGAGCGGCGGACGGGUGAGGAAUGCAUCGGAAUCUGCCUCGUUGUGGGGGAUAACGUAGGGAAACUUACGCUAAUACCGCAUACGACCUACGGGUGAAAGUGGGGGACCUUCGGGCCUCACGCGAUGAGAUGAGCCGAUGCCGGAUUAGCUAGUUGGCGGGGUAAAGGCCCACCAAGGCGACGAUCCGUAGCUGGUCUGAGAGGAUGAUCAGCCACACUGGGACUGAGACACGGCCCAGACUCCUACGGGAGGCAGCAGUGGGGAAUCUUAGACAAUGGGCGCAAGCCUGAUCUAGCCAUGCCGCGUGCGCGAUGAAGGCCUUAGGGUUGUAAAGCUCUUUCAGUGGGGAAGAUAAUGACUGUACCCACAGAAGAAGCCCCGGCUAACUCCGUG
rnacentral:rRNA from 1 species